UGGGGGAUAUUGCACAAUGGGCGAAAGCCUGAUGCAGCGACGCCGCGUGGGGGAUGAAGGCUUUCGGGUUGUAAACCUCUUUCGCUAUCGAACAAGGCCCGCUUAGGGUGGGUUGAGGGUAGGUGGAGAAGAAGCGCCGGCUAACUACGUGCCAGCAGCCGCGGUAAUACGUAGGGCGCGAGCGUUGUCCGGAAUUAUUGGGCGUAAAGGGCUUGUAGGCGGCUUGUUGCGCCUGCUGUGAAAACGCAGGGCUUAACUUCGCGCGUGCAGUGGGUACGGGCAGGCUUGAGUGUGGUAGGGGUGACUGGAAUUCCAGGUGUAGCGGUGGAAUGCGCAGAUAUCUGGAGGAACACCGAUGGCGAAGGCAGGUCACUGGGCCAUUACUGACGCUGAGGAGCGAAAGCAUGGGUAGCGAACAGG
rnacentral:rRNA from 1 species